UCCCUUGCUUGCUUUGUGUGUCCUUAUAUCCCCGCUUCUUGUGUUUCAGUGGGACGGAAAUUCAUGCUCCAGUUGUUCAAUAUGUUUGUAUACAUAGCAUUAGCUGUCACUAGCCCUAGCACUGUUUCUUUCUGGACUUGAAUUGAAUGAUUCUCCUGAUUUGAAUUUGUACUUAUCCCCAAUUCCUGCCCAACGACCAGGUCAAACCCAAAUCCUUGUUAGCCAAUCUGAAGCAAGCUCUGCAACCUCUAUGGGUGGCAGUGGCCAAUGUGAGACGAGGAUACAGCCAGGUGAAAGUGAGGGCAGCCAAUCAGCAGCCUCAUCACAAACAGGGGAGGGUGUGUCAGCCACAGAUGCUUCCUCAGUUGUUUCAUGUUCGCCUGAGCUGUCUGCACUCUUAAGUUCAUUCUUAGAGGAAGACUAGAAAAUAUGAAGAAAAAGAAGAAUUAGGCAAAUUGGAAUAUAUGUGUGUACAAAGUGAAAGAAUAUUUCUGGACAAUAAAUGAAAGGUUUUGUUGCCACCUGACA